UACAGAGGGGGCGAGCGUUGUUCGGAAUUACUGGGCGUAAAGGGCGCGUAGGCGGCCAACUAAGUCAGACGUGAAAUCCCUCGGCUCAACCGGGGAACUGCGUCUGAUACUGGAUGGCUUGAAUUCGGGAGAGGGAUGCGGAAUUCCAGGUGUAGCGGUGAAAUGCGUAGAUAUCUGGAGGAACACCGGUGGCGAAGGCGGCUUCCUGGACCGACACUGACGCUGAGGCGCGAAAGCUAGGGGAGCAAACGGG
rnacentral:rRNA from 1 species